UCAAAACCCCCCCUUCCACUAUAUAUACUUCCACCAACACUCACCAUUACUUAACCCUUUCCAACAAAAAUUACCCCAAUAUCUCUCUCUCUCUCUCUCUCUCUCUCCACAUAUAUACUCAAUCCAUCUAUGGCUCGCUCAAGCACUGUGUUGUUCAUUGUGUUCAUGAUAUUUGCUUCAUUCACCUCUUCUUUACACGGUCGGAAACUUCAAAUUGAGCAAGAAAACAAUAAUAGGGUCGUACCAUCUUUUGAGGACACGUACUUCUACCUAAGUGCCCUUCCCAAGGGCACACUGACUCCUUCACCUAGCAAGAAAGGUCAUGUCAUGAUCGUUGACGAAAAGCACUUCGCCCGCCACCUCGCUGCUAUUGGUCGGAUACUAACGUCGGGGCCAAGCUCCGGCGGCGUAGGCCACAGCCCCAACAGGCCCCCCGGCCCCUAAAACAAGCUACCACUUACGUUCUCAACAAUAAUAUUACUGGGUUAUGUUACUAUCCUCUAAUUUUCUGAUCAAACCAUUUUACAUACCCCUGAUAUGUACCAGUAGAAAACUCGUGUUAUGCAUGCUCUGCAAAGGGGAAAAAAUUUCAGUAUUAGGUGGGUACCACAUCGUACUCGCUUGGUGCAUACGAACCGUCCAUUAUGUAAAGCAAUUACCAAUAUUUUGCUGGAAAGACACUUUAGUUCUUUUAUGGUAUCAAACUUUUUUAUUACAAAAGAGCAUUAUCUAUCAUACCUUUGUGUUAAAAAAAAUUAGAAGAAAAUAGCAUAUGAACAAAAAACAAUUAUCACUUUGACAUUUAGAGCACUGGUCUGAAAUCACAUUGCGUGAGCAUCUGCAGGAACCAUCACAAUGCUUUGUUGUAAUCUUGGUUUCGGUUUGCUCCCUUGACUUUUGGAUUUUUUUCUUUUGGUCUUGGGUAUUCUAGCUAUUUGGGUUUUUUCAGCGGAUGUUUCAGAUUUUUUUUUUGUGGUAUUUUGGUUGGCUCAUUGCCUUUUUUGGGGUUUGAUUCUCGGGUGGCAUUUCGGCGCCGGUCCAUUGAUCCAUUAAAUCUUUGUAAUCAUUUUCAUAAAUUUAUUGAAAAAAAUUUGCUGAUCAAAAAUUAAACAAAAAAAAAAAAAAACAAACAAAUAUCCAGUGUGAAUAAAUUUGUCACAUUUAUACAUGGAGAUGGAAAGACGUCAGCUACGUACACUUAAAAAAUGUUUAUACAAACUUAAUUAGUACAUAAGGGAGCAGCAUUGAGAUUAAUAAGAUGGUCAACUUAUUAAAUUAAACACUCUCAAGUUCCAACUUCUCCAGUAAUUACAGCAUUAUUACUCAUAAUAGCACAUGCUUAAGAUCAAAUUUUCUUGUUUUCGUAUAUUUGCAUGAGAUUUUGAAUUUUUUUCUUGUCUUACUUAAUUUAAAGUGGUUUUUUUUUUUUUCCUUUGUAGAUUUAUCUCUGAAGAACGACCUGGUCACGUGUUGAUGGUUCGUGCAAAAGUUGCUAUGAAGCUAUAGGAAUCAAUCUUGCUUCUUGUGAUAUAGUAUUUUCUAUCCAUCUAUAUAUCAUCCAAAGUGUAAUUUUUUUAUUUUGGAAUAAGUUGUUUGUUUUGGUGUGUAAUACUUUUCUGUUGAUUUGGCUCUGUUACUAAA